rnacentral:lncRNA from 1 species
UUUUGCUAUAUUUUUAGCUCCUGAAAUGGAUUUGAGAAUGCCAACUGUAAUUCUUUUCAUUAUGAUUUGUUUGUUUCUACAAUGGGAUAGACUUUAAUGAUACAUAUUCUAGGAAAUUAUUUUUCUUGUCACCUAUGGACAAAAGAAAAAGCCAAUUAAACAGUCAAUUCCUUAUUGCCCUUUCUAAAAGGCAGUCCUUCUUCAAUUUAUCUGAAGCUUGUUUUUGUUUUCCAUUUUCACAUACUUCUAGUUGAGGGAUUCUUAAUCUGGGAUCUGGAGAUCCUUAAAAUAUCCAUGGAGAGAUUUCAAGAUGUCAGUAAGCUUGUAUGGAAAAAAAUUAUAACUUUAAUUCACUAUAAUUGAUUUUCUUUGUGAUUCUAUUUAUUUUGUUUCAUGUAUUUAGAAACGGAGGUGGAGUUAAAAUGGUGGCUUAAAGACAGCAACAGUUCAGACCUCUGCAAACCCUUCCUCACCAAUCAAAAACAAUGCUUCAAGGUGCCUGAAAACCAAAUGUAACAACAGGACAGAGCUAGGGAACUCUCCUCCUGGACCAAACUUAAAAGGAUCUUGGCCUGGGACUGCUGCUGGAGCUACAACUUGGACCUGGGACUCUGGAUCUUGGACUGCUGCUAGUAAGACUGCUCCUGGAUCUUCUCCCUUUGGAGCUACUGCUUGGGAGAAUGGUCCAACCAAAAAAGGAAGAAAGAAAAAGGAAGGAAGGAAGGAAGGAAGGAAGGAAGGAAAGAAGGAAGGAAAGAAGGAAGAGAAAGAGAGAGAAAGAAAGAAAAAAGAGAAAGAAAAAGAGAGACAAGAGAGAGAAAGAGAAAGAGAUGAAGAGUAAAAGAGAGAAUGAGAAGGAAAAAGAUAAGAAAAGGGAAAACUAUUCAGAAUAAAGGAAGUCAUUUUGAUCAGAGGCUGCAUGCAGUAAUUGAAGACACUGCUGAUGAUUUCAUGCAAUCAGAGUAGCACAUUAUUUGUGAUGAAAAUUAGGAGAAAGAAGGAAAGAGAGAGAGAGAAGAAAGGAACAAGAAAGACAGAAAGAAAAGAAAGCAAGAAAGAAAGAAAGAAAGAAAGAAAGAAAGAAAGACAGAAAGAAAGAUAGAAAGAAAGAUAGAUAGAAAGAAAGCAACCAAGAUAGAAAGAAAGCAAAGACUCAAGCAAGCCAGAAAGACAGCUAGAAAGAAAGAAAGAAAGAAAGAAAGAAAGC